CACCACGCACUUGUUGAAGGAGGGGGACGAACAACAGCGACGGCAUGCUUCUCCGAUCCGAUCCGACUCGACAGAUCGACAGACCUAUCCGGUGUAGAUGUGGACGUGGAGCGCGAGCGUGAGGAUGGUGAAGGCCGCGAAGAAGAUGAGGGUGUGGACGAAGAUGGCCUUGCCGUUGGUGUGGAAGCCGCCGAAGUCGACGUGGCGGUGGGUGCCCGGGAGCUCGCACAGCAGGCCCGGCGACAGCAGCACGAACAGCACCACGCCCACCACCACGGGGCCCCAGUCCGCCAUCGAUCCGCCCCCUGCCGAUCCGAUCCGAGCAACAGCUAGCACCGAGAGGGGAGAGGGAGGUCGGGGAGCGGGGCCUGAGUUUUGUGCGUGACUGCUGGUGGAGGAGAGUGGAGUGUCUGGUGUGGAGCUUCGGGGAGAAGAAGAAGGGGAAAGCGGCCGUGCGGGGAAGGAGCGUCACGCACACGAUUUGCAGUGUUGGCACGAUUCGAUGCCGCCGCGGCGAGAGAGAAAUCUCAGAUCAGGUCGGCUCCACCGCCCACCGACGGACGGUGAAGCCACCAGCCGGCAUGUACCGAGGAUGGAAUUGGGAAGAGGACAACGGUCGCCCUGGCCAACCUGUCAAGAGCCCGACUCGUUUCCUGAGCCUAACGUUGCGGGCGGCGGAAUCACGUGCGCGCCGGGCGCCGCUCGUGCUCGAGCCUCGAGCGCUGCUGCAGGAGGAGCCG
rnacentral:lncRNA from 1 species